ACGUCUGUACUUUUCAGAAUCAUUUGUAUAGUUAGUUCGCAGUCAUGUUCAGAUGAACUGUACCAUUUCCGGCCAGGAUGAAGAUGUAUGGUUACUGUAAUAAUACUAUGAAUAUUUUUAUGAUAAGUAGUUGCAGUAUAUACACUGUAGUACUGUAGCGUUCUGACUGGU
rnacentral:snoRNA from 1 species